CCUAAAUCCUUAUAGUUCUGGGUGCUCUGCUGUCUCUAGUCUUGUUCUAGUAAAAAAAAACAUGAUGAGGACGGAGAUGGACACAAUGAUCAGGUUUGACUCGACCGUUCUACACAACAACAUUGACAACCAGUCUGUGUUUUGCAGUGAUGUGACUCCGACCUCUACGCCUGCACUGAGAAAUGAGCCUGCAAACCCAAAUGAGAUCGAUACCUUCACCUAUUAAAUACUGUGCUUAGUUAAAUAUACCCUGGUGAAAGA